AGCUCAUUUCCAGAAGGGCGAGUACGCGGAGGCCGAAGCGCUGUACUCCGCUUACGUUCGCCAGUACGCCUGUGCGGCCUCCGAGGGAGAGGCGUCCGGGAGGGCCUUUUUGUUGAUUUGGUCUGCUUGUCUUCUCGCCCCCCGGCAGGCAGACACAGAGGAGAAGGCCAUGUGAAGAUGGAGACGGAGACGGGAGUGAUGCUGCCACAAGUCAAGGAUCUCCUGCAGCUACCAGAACCGGAAGAGGCAAGGAAGGAUCCGCCCCAGGAGGCUUUGGAGGGAGCAUGGCCAUGCCGAAAUCUGGAUUUCAGACUUUUAGUGUCCAGAACGGUAAGAGAAAAAAUUUCUUAUAAGCCAUCCAGUUUGUGGUACUUGGUUAUGGCAGCCCUGGGAAAAUUAAAAGACUACCCAGUAAACAUUAGCUCCGUUUCCAAACUUUUUACACGUAUGCCUUCGUGUUCCUGCACCCACAAAAUGCAGCUCUGUGGGAACAGGGUGAACAUUUUGUUAGAACAAGGGAGGGGAGGAAAGAGAGGGCUCUUAUUUCCUUAUUUGGUCAUGACCUUGACUGAAUCAGGAGAGGGACCCAGGAGUAAGCUCCCUACAAAAACAGGCUGGUUUGCUCCGGCUGCCUGCUGAGAAGUUCCUAACCACCCGCUGUGCCUUUGAGACACUCAGCUCUUGGAGGACAGAGCCUCCUCUGGCUCAAGAAUGGAAAAGAAAAGUGGGAGUUCCUUCAGGCUGCCAAACAACAAGCCAUUACAACAAGCCAGGUGACAGGCAUCCAAGUUGGCCAAGCUGGCAGGACUGGGAACUGUCAGUGGGGCCUGCAGAACAAUAAUCAUUUCCAUUGUGAAGACCAGCUGCUGGUAGACUUAUUGCAAUAGGAACAGCCUCUUGGAUGCGGAGGGUGGGGUGGAGGGUGAAUGGAGCGAGGCGCCUUCUUGCAGAGCCCCAAGCCUCCAUCUGUCACUGAUGCCAGCACGUGACAGUGGCCAGGGGCCACUUAUCUACCCUGGUUAUUCUCACUCCCACCUCCCUCCUUCUACUCUGGCAUUCUCUCCCAGAAUGCCCUCUUGCCCUCAUUUAUUUAAAUCCUGUCCCUCCUUCAAGUCCCAGCAAAUACCAUUAACCCUUCCCUGCCAAGAUCAACCCAAACUCAUCUCCUUAUUCUCCCAUUUUCCGUGAUGGUCUAGACAGAGCGCCUUUGCCACUGGAUGUGGUCCACAGGCCAGCAGCAUUGGCAUCACCUAGAAGCUUGUUAGUAGCGCAGAUUCUAGGCCUUAUGCUAGACCUACGGACUCAGAAUUUACAUUUUCAUGAGCUCCCCACGUGCUUCGGCUGGACACUAAGGUGUAGGGAGCAAGGUGUAAGGUGGUCUGUUUUGCUGGUUCUCAGAGUGUGGUUUCUGGACCAGCAGUGCCAGCAUAACCUAAGAACUUGUCAGUACGUAACAUCUGGGCCCCAGCCCAGACCCGCUGAACCUGACUCCCUGGGAGUAGGGCCCAGCCUUCUCCAGGGGGCUCUGAUGCACACUCGAAUUUGCGAACUGCUCGUCUGUAUCAUUCAGUCCAGCAUCUAAUUAUGCUCUUUCCCUUCCUGUGUGUUUGUCAUUCCCCUCAAGCUGGGGACACUCAGGACAGGAGCAGUGUUUGUACGUCUCUCUGGCACUUAGCCCAGGAAACCAGACAACCGGGAUGAGGUCAUUCAUCUCAUGUCAUAAAACACAUUCUAAGGUAACAAACUUGGAGGGCCCCUGCCGUGGCAUGCUGAGAAUUCUCCCUGUUUUAAGGAAGGGUGCAAGAUCCCUGAACUGGAACACCAGUGUCAGGGCAGCGGGGGCUGACACGCCCUUGGUUAAGGGCGUUUGGAAUUUGAAACCUGCUGACAUUUAUGGAGUGACUUACAGGUCAUCCUGGAUAGUGCGGGCACGGUGGCUACCUCUGUGACGAGGAAGCAGAGAGCCGGGCAGAACCACAGCCGGGAACUUUGGGUGCCACCCUCUGAGGAGGAAGAAGGUAGGGUCGCAGGUGACAUGUGUUCGGAGGGUCCCUCUCAGAUCUUGACUUUCUGGCCCCAUAGAAACUUGCGUCCAUCGACAUCUGCCUACAGCCCUUUCCGGCCCCUUGUUACACACGAGGAAGCCUGCGUGGGGCUGGAGGGAACUGCUAGGAAGUCAGGGGAAGAUCCUGACUGAGAAUCCAGGCCAUAAGGUUAAGUACACUUUCCUGGCCCAAGUUCAAGGUGCGUGCAGAGAGGGGACGUCACCGAGGCAGGGAAAACUAAGGUUUCUUGGCUCAUGUGGACUUUCUUCCAGGACUACCUUCUUCUAGAAGGAUAACCAGACUUGUUAAACGUCUCAUAAAAUGCCUGAAAAUGAGCAUAGCCAGACACUAGAAAAGCCUGGUGGGUGAGGGCCAGGUGGUUUGGGCCAGAGUCUUUAGAACUCACACAGAUCUGUAGGCAAAGCCUCUUCCUUGGGCUGAGUGAACAAAAUGGGCCCGGCUGAGACGGAGCUGUGAUUCGCAGCGUGCUGUUCAGAGAGCUCGACAGAAAGGCGAGUUUGUGGGUUGGUCAGGCCUUGAGGCAGUCGUCAGAAGGUCAGGCUCAUCUUGGGCAACGGAGGGGAAAGAUGAAGCUGUUCGUGGGCAGAAGUUGUCUGAGGGCACUCGCCCUUUACAGUGAUGUUUCACUGUGUUCCAGCGUCAAAUCCCGCUGACACUGACACCCAGCACUUGGAGUAAUUCUGCUGUGAUAUCCACCAAGCACAUCAGUUCCAUCUCAAAGGACCCCCGACUCACGGUGGUCAUUUUCCCAAUGUAGAGCUCAGUGAAGGAUUCAUCUUAGGAGGGGAAGCAUUUGGUGAACUCAGGGAGAAUUUUCUCCUCUGCCCUCCUUCCCCCAGAAUACACCCUGGAAUAGCCUCAACUUUAGCCAUCCUUGUCUGCAUCUCCAGUGUCUGUCUGCCCCCUCGUAGGCCCUACUGCGUGAGAAUGCCAAGCCUAGAGCAACCAGGUAGAAAUACUUAAGGAAAGUUCUCCCUCGGUCCCCCACUGACCUCUAAUCUGGGUCUGCAACGCCACUGAGCCAUCUCCUGGUGGCAGAACAGCUUUCUCCUUGGCCUGUCCCCACGCCUGCCCACUUGGGUUAGUGUUUCUUUACCCAAGUAGCAGCAGAAUAGCAUUGACCUAGGAUGAGUGGACAAAUAUUAGAAUUUACUCAUUUUCACAUACAUUUUAGGAGUUGACUGUCAAGCCUGAAUGCUACCAGAGGCAAAGAUCAUGGGUCUUGCCUUCAAGGAAAUCCAUUUAGAAAGGAAAUGAAGGACAAACAAUAAGGGACAAAUGACCAUACAAGGCAGAAUAUAAUUAUGACUCUGAUCAUAAGAAUUUAAAGGAAGGAGGAUUGGGGGAGAGGGAAGGGAGAACCAGAAAGGCUUUGUGGAAGAGGCAGCAUUUGAAAUGCGCUCUGAAGCCUGAGAACUCACAUAGGAAGAGAUGGGAUAAUUUUCACGAAGGUGUGGAAGUGACAGGAGGUGUGUUUGAGCUGUGACCCUCUCAGUCAUCUUCCACAGAGGCAGGGAGAAAUCAGUGAGUCUGGAAAGGGAUUCCACCACGGCAGACGCUGAAGGUCAUCUUCCACAGAGGCAGGGAGAAAUCAGUGAGUCUGGAAAGGGAGUCCACCACGGCAGACGCUGAAGGUCAUCUCCCACAGAGGCAGGGAGAAAUCAGUGAGUCUGGAAAGGGAGUCCACCACGGCAGACGCUGAAGGUCAUCUUCCACAGAGGCAGGGAGAAAUCAGUGAGUCUGGAAAGGGAUUCCACCACGGCAGACGCUGAAGGUCAUCUUCCACAGAGGCAGGGAGAAAUCAGUGAGUCUGGAAAGGGAGUCCACCACGGCAGACGCUGAAGGUCAUCUUCCACAGAGACAGGGAGAAAUCAGUGAGUCUGGAAAGGGAUUCCACCAAGGCAGACGCUGAAGGUCAUCUUCCACAGAGGCAGGGAGAAAUCAGUGAGUCUGGAAAGGGAGUCCACCACGGCAGACGCUGAAGGUCAUCUUCCACAGAGACAGGGAGAAAUCAGUGAGUCUGGAAAGGGAUUCCACCAAGGCAGACGCUGAAGGUCAUCUUCCACAGAGGCAGGGAGAAAUCAGUGAGUCUGGAAAGGGAGUCCACCACGGCAGACGCUGAAGGUCUGCUUUUCUCAGGACGGACGCAGAUGCUGUGGCCUUAGAUUCGAGCCAGCAGGAGGCCUAAGACGGGGCUGGAAGGUGGAAUGAGGCAGGCAGAGAUCACGGGGAAGACAGGACACAAGGCGGCUGGAGGCCAAGGAGCCCUCGUGAAGCACUGAGCAGGGGGCCACGUGACUGGAGAGCCCAGAGGCCUGGCUACUCACGAAUGAAGUCUGAAGAGGGGUGAACACACUCUGUGAGAGGUUUCUGGAGCCUUCUUCAGAGCCACCUCAAACUGGGCUUGCAUCCUCUGCAGGGAAAGGUUCUGGGACUCACCCCACGGCUGGGUUCAGCUUCCUCACCGGAAGAGGCAGAUUUGGUAACUCGUGCAUGUUGGGCCCUGGACCUCUAGAGUUGUCUGCUAGCCUGGGGGCCUGGGAUCUGGAAGCCACUUCUGUCUAGGUCUAGGGGUUAGAUGGCAGGAACCCAGGCCUGCAGGUUGGUAGGCUGUAUGCAGUCACUACCGCCAGGUGGUGCCCUGCUGUUGCCUGGGGCACAGAGGUGGGGUCAAAGCCGGUGCCCCAACCAGGCCCUUAGACCUGAGGAUGUCUCAAGAGAAUCUAGGUCCCAACAAGAAAGGCCAUUCCUAUGGUGGACCCGUGGCCUUGGGCAGACACCCUGCUCUGGAAGAUGUAACUGGGUGUGGGUAUUGGCUGGGCUGGGUCCUGGGAAUGUGUGUGGACCGCACAGUCCCUGCAGUGAAGGUGAUGCAUGACUGUGGGCCAGGAGGGCCCCUGAGAUGCAGAGCCUUGCUCCUCUUUGUGUGUACCUGCCACAUAAAGAAGCCUACUUGUUGACAGGUGUCCAUGAAGAGAAACUCGCCCACGGUCUCUGAAGCCCAGGCCCCUGAGCAGUGGCUGUGGGUGCACUGGCCGCCCUCCUGGAGGGAGGACCCAAGACUGACCUCAUCAGAGCUUGCUUCCAGGAAAGGAUCUAGUUCAUGGCUGAUAAAGCUUAAAUACGAAGGGACUGUGUUCCAUGUAAAUACCGAGUUUUGCUUACAUUCACAGAGUGAAGGAAUGAAUGAAGUAGUUUCAGGCCUGGAGACAUGCAUUCUGACUGGCGUUCCUCACGCUUCCCAGGCCCUGGUGGCUCACCUCCAUGUCGGGGGGGCGGGCAGGGCCCACAGAUGGAAGGACAGGCGAUGCCGGAAGGCAGCUCUGCUGGGAGGCCCCUCAAUUCACUACCUCCCCUGCCCCCGGCCAGGCCAGUCUUACCCUGUUGGUCAGGGUGGUGGGGUGGGGGACAGGAGGUUGCUCUGGGGACAUGGGGCCAUAAGAAGCCGCAAGAGCUCUUCCCCUCCCACCAAUAAGUGCUUUUUUAAAAAAA